GAUGAACGCUGGCGGCGUGCCUAAUACAUGCAAGUCGAGCGAACGGACGAGAAGCUUGCUUCUCUGAUGUUAGCGGCGGACGGGUGAGUAACACGUGGAUAACCUACCUAUAAGACUGGGAUAACUUCGGGAAACCGGAGCUAAUACCGGAUGAUAUUUUGAACCGCAUGGUUCAAAAGUGAAAGACGGUCUUGCUGUCACUUAUAGAUGGAUCCGCGCUGCAUUAGCUAGUUGGUAAGGUAACGGCUUACCAAGGCAACGAUGCAUAGCCGACCUGAGAGUGUGAGCGGCCACACUGGAACUGAGACACGGUCCAGACUCCUACGGGAGGCAGCAGUAGGGAAUCUUCCGCAAUGGACGAAAGCCUGACGGAGCAACGCCGCGUGAGUGAUGAAGGUCUUCGGAUCGUAGAACUCUGUUAUUAGGGAAGAACAUAUGUGUAAGUAACUGUGCACAUCUUGACGGUACCUAAUCAGAAAGCCACGGCUAACUACGUG
rnacentral:rRNA from 1 species